GUGGAAUAUCAGGAUAAAAACACCUACAGCUGUGUGCUGAACAAUCCCAUCAGCAACCAGACCACACAUCUGGACAUCAACACACUCUGCAGACACACAUGUGCAGAUCAAGGCCUACCUUUAUUGUUCAUAGUGUUGAUCUCUGCUGGAUCUCUGAUGAUUGUUGUUAUAAUUGUGAUUUUCUGCAUCUGCAAGAAAUGUAGAAAAACAGUCCAAACCCAGGAGAAAGACAAAACUGAUUCAGCAUCGAGUAAACCAACAACACAACAACAGAGAUCGAAGACGGAGUCUGUGUAUGAAAAUGUCCCCAAAAAACGAUGAUCAAAUACCAGAGCUCAUACGGGGAAAUUGCUCACAUUUUUGUUUUUAGUUACAUUUAUUCUUGUACAGGAAGUCUUUGUUUCGCACAAAUGUUGUUAUUGUAUUGUUUAAAACGUUGUUGCUCUAUAAUGAAUAUCAUCCAGAAACUCAACUAAAAGGUUAUAUUUCAGUCUUCUUAUCACUAUGUAAAUGUAUCUAACUUUAAUUAUUAAACAUUGGUCCACAUGUCUGGUUUACUAUAUUUGUGGGGACUCUUCAUAUAUGAUGUUUUUUUUUUGUACUGUACAAACUGUAUAUUCUCCCUCCUUGCUCUAACUCCACCCCUAAACAUACCUUUCACACAGACAAACAAUGCAAACAAGUCUCUCUAAGAAGAGCGCUUUUUUAAUUAAUCUUACAUGUUUUGAUUAUUUUAAUUUCUUUAUGUAAAACACUUUGAAUUACCAUUGUGUAUGAAAUGUGCUAUAAAUAAACUUGCCUUGCCUCUUUUCACCGAUAGGGUGCGCUAUAA